UUCCAUCAAACCCAUACGUGUGGGGUAUAUAUGGAUAGGUCUUCAAUAAUGAUAUUGAGGUUUCUAAUAUAAUUUUUUUCUAAACUGAAUAGUUUGCGCGACAGACACUUCCAAAGUGGUAAAAUGUGUGUCCCCCCCCCCCCCCCCCCCCUGUAACUAAUAAAAUAAGGGAAUGAUAAAACUAAAAAAAAUAUAUGAUGUACAUUGCCAAGCAAACUUCCACCGAAAAUUGGUUUGAACGAGAUCUAGUAAGUCGUUUUUUUUUAAUACAACAUAUAUCGUAACACGCAAUUUUAUUAUGUUAUUUGCUGCUACGGAACCCUUCAUGGGCGAGUCCGGCUCGCACUUAGCCGCUUUUUAUGGAUAUUUAACCAAAUGGCAAAAAACGGAACCCUUAUGGAUUCGUCAUGUCUGUCUGUCUGUCCGUCCGUAUGUCACAGCCACUUUUUUCCGAAACAAUAAGAACUAUACUGUUGAAACUUGGCAAGUAGAUGUAUUCUGUGAACCGCAUUAAGAUUUUCACACAAAAAUAGAAAAAAAAACAAUACAUUUUGGGGGUUUCUCAUACUUAGAACUGAAACUCAAAAAAAUUUUUUUAUCAAACCCAUACGUGUGGGGUAUCGAUGGAUAGGUCUUCAAAAAUGAUAUUGAGGUUUCUAAUAUAAUUUUUUUCUAAACUAAAUAGUGUGCGCGAGAGACACUUCCAA